CAAUAGCGUAUAUUAAAGUUGUUGCAGUUAAAAAGCUCGUAGUCGGAUUUUGGCAUCAUGCCGAACUGUCAGCCGAUUGGUUUGUACGGUUUGGCGGGUGCUCUCCUUCCGGAGGCUCGUUUCCUCUUUCAUUAGAGGGUUCGAUGGUUCCGGGUCUUUUACUUUGAAAAAAUUAGAGUGUUCAAAGCAGGCCUAUGCUCUGAAUAGGUUAGCAUGGAAUAAUAAAAUAGGACUUUGGUUCUGUUUUGUUGGUUGGAGACCAAGGUAAUGAUUAAUAGGGAUAGUUGGGGGUAUUCAUAUUUAAUUGUCAGAGGUGAAAUUCUUGGAUUUAUGAAAGAUGAACUUAUGCGAAAGCAUUUACCAAGGAUGUUUUCAUUAAUCAAGAACGAAAGUUAGGGGAUCGAAGAUGAUUAGAUACCAU
rnacentral:rRNA from 1 species